UACAUAGGGUGCAAGCGUUGUCCGGAAUUAUUGGGCGUAAAGAGCUCGUAGGCGGUUUGUUGCGUCGGCUGUGAAAACCUGAGGCUCAACCUCAGGCCUGCAGUCGAUACGAGCAGACUAGAGUGUUGCAGGGGAGACUGGAAUUCCUGGUGUAGCGGUGAAAUGCGCAGAUAUCAGGAGGAACACCGGUGGCGAAGGCGGGUCUCUGGGCAACAACUGACGCUGAGGAGCGAAAGCGUGGGGAGCGAACAGG
rnacentral:rRNA from 1 species